UACAGAGGUCGCAAGCGUUGUUCGGAUUCAUUGGGCGUAAAGGGUGCGUAGGCGGCGCGGUAAGUCGGGUGUGAAAUCUUGGAGCUUAACUCCGAAACUGCAUUCGAUACUGCCGUGCUUGAGGACUGGAGAGGAGACUGGAAUUUACGGUGUAGCGGUGAAAUGCGUAGAUAUCGUAAGGAAGACCAGUGGCGAAGGCGGGUCUCUGGACAGUUCCUGACGCUGAGGCGCGAAGGCCAGGGGAGCAAACGGG
rnacentral:rRNA from 1 species